rnacentral:rRNA from 1 species
UACAGAGGUCUCAAGCGUUGUUCGGAUUCCUUGGGCGUAAAGGGUGCGUAGGCGGCGCGGUAAGUCGGGUGUGAAAUCUCGGGGCUUAACUCCGAAACUGCAUUCGAUACUGCCGUGCUUGAGGACUGGAGAGGAGACUGGAAUUUACGGUGUAGCGGUGAAAUGCGUAGAUAUCGUAAGGAAGACCAGUGGCGAAGGCGGGUCUCUGGACAGUUCCUGACACUGAGGCACGAAGGCCAGGGGAGCAAACGGG